rnacentral:rRNA from 1 species
GACCUACGGGACGCAGCAGUGAGGAAUAUUGGUCAAUGGCCGAGAGGCUGAACCAGCCAAGUCGCGUGAGGGAAGACGGCCCUACGGGUUGUAAACCUCUUUUGUCGGGGAGCAAAGCGAGUCACGUGUGACUCAUUGAGAGUACCCGAAGAAAAAGCAUCGGCUAACUCCGUGCCAGCAGCCGCGGUAAUACGGAGGAUGCGAGCGUUAUCCGGGUUUAUUGGGUUUAAAGGGUGCGUAGGCGGGACGGUAAGUCAGCGGUAAAAAUGCGGAGCUCAACUCCGUCGGGCCGUUGACACUGUCGU